GAUAUGUUUGAGGUGCUGAGUGGAAACUGAUCGAGGUUUUUGAAAGUACCUGUCCUGCAGCCAGGAACGGGCUUUUGAAAGUCUGUUUUCUGUUGCUCCAUGAUCGUUCGGAAGAUAAACCCAAGUCCUGGUAAGAAAAUAGAAUGGAAAACCUGGAAUGGAUCCGGAGCCGAGUGAUUAUAAAACGAUUUGAGCUUGGAGGUGGAAUCUUUAACGCUCCGAUCCACUCAUAUCAAUGUUCCAGUCUGACUUUCCAUCUGUGCGUUGCGUGGAGACACACUCUAUGCGGAGAAUAUACUACGAAGAGGCCAAUUUUUGUUGGAAGCGGCCGCGUGUGGAUCUCUCUGUAGGUGUGGAGGUGUGGAGGGGCACAGGCGGUCUGAUGGUAUCGAGCUUUGGCUGAGAUCAGAUCGCUGGCAUCAUCAUCCAGCUCCUCCUGCGAACCUGCGGCGCUGCUGCAUGAAGGAACCAGGUGCUGCCUAUUCAUUAGCCAUUAACGCUCAAUGCUCCAGCCAGACGGGCUUGCCAUGCCAUCUUAAACCUGCAAACAGAUGCUGAAGGAAGGACAACCAACCAAGGACCUCAGAUAAGAUAUUUGCUCUCUCCUGUGUCUCACAGUAAGAGUGUUGGCACGCUGCUGCUGUUUUGGCUUUAAUCUCGGCUGAUUUCAGGUUGAUCACACUCUCUCACAUCCUCUCUGAUCUCUGCGAGCCGUCACAUGGGCAGAUGGUCACCUGGACCUUUCACUGACCUCAACACCUGUAGCAUCGCCUCACCUGUGCAAUUUGUUGUUACGGUUCCCGUCAUCAUUAGCAGGUCUGUGUCAGCCAGCGGCCCACAGGGAGUUCAGAGAGGACCUGAGUUGUGAGAUGAGGUGAAAGCCGCCCAUAUUCCCACAGUGACGGAGCGGCAAUUACCCCAAACUGUGACUGCGUCCUCCUACCGGCCACAGGAACAAUGGACUGUCUGUCAGCGGCGGUGUUGCCCAAGCAUAACAGAUGUGUGUGGACACACUAGACAAUGGCGUGGCUGGAUAAGUGGGUUCCUGAUCUCAGAGGCGGGGGGGAGGACGGCAGCUUGUGUCCGAGACGCUCGUGUGGGGCGAGGGAGAACUCCACAGGACCAGCACAGAGCCGGAUCCGUAAUACACGCUCUCUCUCUCUCUCUCUUACACACACACACACACUCAGACCUGUCACGGCCCCUGUGGAGACAGACCCUGCUGAUCGGCUGCUAAUGGACAUCUGCCAUAAAUGCCUCGCACCCGUCGCUCUGAUGAGACGGAGAUUAGUGUCUAUCGUAGAUGCACGUCCGCUCACCUCACACAAACAAAGCAAACUGACAAGAAAUGAUGCGAAAUCCACUCGGCUAAGUGGAAAAUCCCCCGUAUGAAGUAACACGCAGUCCAUGAGGAAGGACGGAUCAGCCGAGAGACGUGUCAAUCCAUCUGAACCGGGGCCAAAUUUUCUAAUUAGCACUGAUUUCUCCCUGGACAACAGCCGGCAUUUCUUCCCAGUUUGCUGCUUUCUGUAGCUAUUAUCUUGGGAAGGUUAGUAGUUUGAAAAUGUAGUUUGCUACUAACGAAAGUGGCUAACUAUAUUGAAUUUCUGCACCUUUAGCGUUACCAAACGUGCAAAAUUAUGAUUGUUUUCAAACAUAUUCCCCUGUCUUCAAUUGGUCGGACCAACAGACCAAAACACAUGCCAUUGUUUAAAGUAUUGGAUGCAGUUUGAAUUUUUUAGUUGUGAUUUUAGAUUUAGUAACUUUGAUAUGCUUUGUCAUUUAUAUUAGCCUUUUUAUGUUUCUGUUUAGCUUUAUUUUAUUUUAGUUUUUAAUAAUUUUACAAUACAAAUAAACAAAUGUAUUAUA